rnacentral:lncRNA from 1 species
UGCAACUUCCACUCUUACAAGAAUGUUAGCCAAAGACCUAAUGAGGUCUAUCUCGAAUGGUAAUGCAAAAACCCUUGAAAUUUAAAGUCUUGAAUUUAACUAUACUGAAGUACGGUGCCCCUCAGUAUUUAUUCUUUUGGCAUGUAAAUAACUGUAUGAUAAGUGGUGAUUUUACCAUAUAUUCUAGUCUCAUUUUCUUUAGUUUUUGGUUCAUUUAUUUAUAAAGUGAGGUUAUUUAUUAUGUUAAGUUAGCAUUUCAGGUUUGUUGAAGAUUAAUUGAUGUUGGAGUCAAACGAAGGUUGAAUGUUCAAAAAGAUAAGACAAUUGGAUGAAAUGCCUUCAGUUGUCGCACCUGCGGAUAAUGCCCCGCACCUGCGGGCUCGCACAUGCGAUCAAGAUGAUCGCAUAUGCGAAAAAUGGAUAGAUUCAGCACCUUCGCACAUCUGCGGAGUAAAAGAGUCGCAUCUGCGAAAGUGGACUGAGCCAAGUCCUUCGCAUCUACGAGGAAUUCCAUCGCACCUGCGCCCCGGUACCUUCGCACCUGAGAUAUAAGAAUCCACAUCUGUGAUGUUGGAGGGAAUCAAGCCCUUCGCAUCCGCGCGGGCUUUCACGCAUCUGUGUCCCCUUUUCUCUUGCACCUGCGAUGCAAUUCUGCAGGUGCGAUCGACAAUCUUUAGUUCAAGGCAGACUUGCCAUUUCACAUUUUCGGAUCCCAAAUCACAUAUACUCGACCUAGCUCAUUUUGAAACACAUCUUUGGCAUUUGAAAAGAAAAUACAAGCUUUGGAGCUUGGGUUUCUUGCACCAACUUGGGGAUUGAAGAUUUGAAGACUUUGGAUGAGAUUUUGUUACCCUUUUUACUCAUUUUUUAAUUCCUUGUUAUGUAUUGAAUAUUUAAGUGUAUAGUAUUUAUUCCAAUACUUGAAACUUGUUUAUGAAAAUAUUCAUUGUGAAAGUUUGGAUUAAAUCUCUUGUUAUGCUUAUGUAGUGAAUGAUUUUUAUUAAUUAUGAAGUGAGUUAAAUAUUUCUUUAAUUAUUCUUAUUCUUUAAUGUUUCCAAAGGGAUUAGCUAACCCUAGAACUCGCCCAUUAACUUCGAAUUAAUCUUGGAAAAGGCAAACUCGGGGUUGGGAAAGACUAAUUAACAAACAGUUGAGGCGUUGAUAGUAGGCUAUCACUAUGUAGUUUGGCCACUAUUUGCACUCUAAAUUGGCUGCACUUCAUUGAUGUUUGAGUGCUAAAUGAUAAUAAAUUACUUUGAUUGAGUAUUUUUAUGCUUUGCAGGAGCAAUUCCGGGCUACAAUGAGGUUAAGGAGUGUUUUGAGAUAAUAUGGAGCGUUGAAGGCCAAGUAAAGGCUUAUGGAGUAAAUUUGGAGUUCGUUCAAGGAUCGAAGGAAGUUAGUGCAUUUAAAAAGAAGAACAAAGAAGAGUGCAGAAAAUCGCCUAGGUGCGCGACCGCGCACUGACCGCGCAAGUCAGGCAAAAACUGGCCAAAGUGCGCGGCCAGAUGCGCGGUCACCUGCAUAGGUGCGCGACUGCGCACGUCCUUCCGAGAAAAAUUAGUCCAGGGCUAAAAUUGUAAUCUCAGAGGCGACUGUCCUUAACCUAUAUGAAGCCCAGCUCGCCCAAAAAGAGGGUAUCUUGGUUUUUAGGAGAAUUUUGAAGGCAAGAACAGGCAAGGAUCAAGACGGAA